GUGCCAGCCGCCGCGGUAAUACAGAGGUCUCAAGCGUUGUUCGGAUUCAUUGGGCGUAAAGGGUGCGUAGGCGGCGCCGUAAGUCGGAUGUGAAAUCUUCGGGCUCAACCCGGAAACUGCAUUCGAUACUGCGGUGCUUGAGGACUCGAGAGGAGAUCGGAAUUCACGGUGUAGCAGUGAAAUGCGUAGAUAUCGUGAGGAAGACCAGUGGCGAAGGCGGAUCUCUGGAGAGUUCCUGACGCUGAGGCACGAAGGCCAGGGGAGCAAACGGGAUUAGAAACCCCUGUAGUCC
rnacentral:rRNA from 1 species